rnacentral:rRNA from 1 species
GACGAACCGUGCGAACGUUGUUCGGAAUCACUGGGCUUAAAGGGCGCGUAGGCGGCAGGUCAAGUCCGGGGUGAAAGCCCCCAGCUCAACUGGGGAAGUGCCUUGGAUACUGGCGUGCUCGAGGGAGGUAGGGGCCCGCGGAACUUCUGGUGGAGCGGUGAAAUGCGUUGAUAUCAGAAGGAACGCCGGUGGCGAAAGCGGCGGGCUGGACCUUUUCUGACGCUGAGGCGCGAAAGCCAGGGGAGCAAACGGGAUUAGAUACCCCGGUAGUCCUGGCCCUAAACGAUGGGUACUAGCUUGUGGACUAGUCAUGGGUUCACAGGCGAAGCAAAAGUUUUAAGUACCCCGCCUGGGGAGUAUGGUCGCAAGGCUGAA